CACAUGACUCUCGGCAACGGAUAUCUCGGCUCUCGCAUCGAUGAAGAACGUAGCGAAAUGCGAUACCUGGUGUGAAUUGCAGAAUCCCGCGAAUCAUCGAGUCUUUGAACGCAAGUUGCGCCCGAGGCCACUCGGUCGAGGGCACGCCUGCCUGGGCGUCACGC
rnacentral:rRNA from 1 species